ACCCAGCAUCAAGAAUCACUCUUUUAGGUGAUGCCAACCGAUCAACUCACGACACGGUGGCUCAGAAUGCGGAACAAUCGUUCAAAUGUGUUGAGAAAU
rnacentral:ncRNA from 1 species